rnacentral:rRNA from 1 species
GCCAGACUCCUACGGGAGGCAGCAGUGGGGAAUAUUGCACAAUGGGGGAAACCCUGAUGCAGCAACGCCGCGUGAGUGAAGAAGUAUUUCGGUAUGUAAAGCUCUAUCGGCAGGGAAGAAGAAAGACGGUACCUGACUAAGAAGCCCCGGCUAACUACGUGCCAGCAGCCGCGGUAAUACGUAGGGGGCAAGCGUUAUCCGGAUUUACUGGGUGUAAAGGGGGCGCAGACGGCGAUGCAAGCCAGGAGUGAAAGCCCGGGGCCCAACCCCGGGACUGCUCUUGGAACUGCGUGGCUGGAGUGCAGGAGGGGCAGGCGGAAUUCCUGGUGUAGCGGUGAAAUGCGUAGAUAUCAGGAGGAACACCGGUGGCGAAGGCGGCCUGCUGGACUGCAACUGACGUUGAGGCCCGAAAGCGUGGGGAGCAAACAGGAUUAGAUACCCCUGUA